rnacentral:rRNA from 1 species
CAGCAGCCGCGGUAAUACGGAGGGUGCAAGCGUUGUUCGGAAUUACUGGGCGUAAAGGGCGCGUAGGCGGCCGAUCAAGUCAGGUGUGAAAGUCCUGGGCUCAACCUGGGGACUGCACUUGAUACUGUUUGGCUUGAAUUCGGGAGAGGAUAGCGGAAUUCCCAGUGUAGAGGUGAAAUUCGUAGAUAUUGGGAAGAACACCGGUGGCGAAGGCGGCUAUCUGGACCGACAUUGACGCUGAGGCGCGAAAGCGUGGGGAGCGAACAGGAUUAGAUACCCUGGUAGUCCACGCCGUAAACGAUGGGUGCUAGGUGUGGGGGGUGUCAACCCCCUCCGUGCCGAAGCUAACGCAUUAAGCACCCCGCCUGGGGAGUACGGCCGCAAGGCUAAAACUCAAAGGAAUUGACGG